UACAGAGGUCUCAAGCGUUGUUCGGAAUCACUGGGCGUAAAGGUGCGUAGGCCGCACGGUAAGUCAGGUGUGAAAGCCCGGAGCCUCAACUUCGGAAUUGCACCCGAUACUGCCGUGCUUGAGGACUGGAGAGGAGUCUGGAAUUCACAGUGGAGCAGUGAAAUGCGUAGAUAUUGUGAGGAACACUAGUGGCGAAGGCGAGACUCUGGACAGUUCCUGACGCUGAGGCACGAAGGCCAGGGGAGCAAACGGG
rnacentral:rRNA from 1 species